rnacentral:lncRNA from 1 species
GGGAGGCCGGGAGGGGUCCCUGGGCGGGGAGUUGCUGCGCAUCUGUUGUGUGUGUGCGUCUGUCUGUCUGUUCAGGUCUGUUUUAGGCUGUGUCUGUCUGUCUGUCUGGGUCUGUUUCAGGCUGUGUCUGUCUGUCUGUCCGGGUCUGUUUCAGGCUGUGUCUGGGUCUGUUUCAGGCUGUGUCUGUCUGUCUGUCCGGGUCUGUUUCAGGCUGUGUCUGUCUGUCUGUCCGGGUCUGUUUCAGGCUGUGUCUGUCUGUCUGUCCGGGUCUGUUUCAGGCUGUGUCUGUCUGUCUGUUUGUCUGGGUCUGUUUCAGGCUGUGUCUGUCUGUCCGGGUCUGUUUCAGGCUGUAUGUGUGUCUGCUCUUUGCUUCUGCUCCUGGCUCUGUGUGUAUUUCCCGGGUCCUGUGGCCCUCUUU